UACGUAGGGCGCAAGCGUUAUCCGGAAUUAUUGGGCGUAAAGAGCUCGUAGGCGGUUUGUCGCGUCUGCCGUGAAAGUCCGGGGCUCAACUCCGGAUCUGCGGUGGGUACGGGCAGACUAGAGUGAUGUAGGGGAGACUGGAAUUCCUGGUGUAGCGGUGAAAUGCGCAGAUAUCGGGAGGAACACCGGUGGCGAAGGCGGUUCUCUGGGCCGUACCUGACGCUGAGGAGCGAAAGCGUGGGGAGCGAACAGG
rnacentral:rRNA from 1 species